GUUAAUUCCUCUGUAAUUCUCCGGGUCCGAUUUGUCUCCUUUUUUGAAGAGCAGCAUUGGUCUUAGACAUUUUAAUUCUCGUUCAAUUUUUUGAUGUCACAUUUUGAUAUUAAUCUCCUAGUAUUAAUAAUUAAUCUCAUAUCUUACAAACUAGAUACUGGUUAAUAUAUGAGUCAACAAUGCAAUGAAAUUGUUUAGUCUAGUCAUAAAACGUAACAUGCAUUGUUACAAUUGUAAUAAAUUAAUCAAUUUUAAAAAAAGUACGAUAACAGUGGAUAUAGGUACUUCAAUUAAAGUAUCUAUUGUUAAUAUCAAUGAAUAAAAACUAAAAAGUAGUACAUAGGUGAGGUACUUUUUAGUUAGAAUAUGUAUUUUUAUUUUGAAACAUUUGCUUCUUCACCCAUGUAUUUUGCCGUUAUCCUUCGCAUUGGCUACACACGCAGCUGGAGCAUGAACUCUCAAAAAAA
rnacentral:lncRNA from 1 species